rnacentral:rRNA from 1 species
UACAGAGGGUGCGAGCGUUGUCCGGAAUUACUGGGCGUAAAGGGCUCGUAGGCGGCCAACUAAGUCAGACGUGAAAUCCCUCGGCUUAACCGGGGAACUGCGUCUGAUACUGGAUGGCUUGAGAUUGGGAGAGGGAUGCGGAAUUCCAGGUGUAGCGGUGAAAUGCGUAGAUAUCUGGAGGAACACCGGUGGCGAAGGCGGCAUCCUGGACCAACACUGACGCUGAGGAGCGAAAGCCAGGGGAGCAAACGGG